CCCUAAUCAGGCACACUCAAACGCCAUAAAUACGCAUAGUGAUCUUCUCUUCUUCCAUCAUUCGUCGUUCUUCUCUAAUGGCUGGACACGUUACCAUCACUGGUUAAGAGCUAAUGAUGAGAAAUACAAUUAUCUUAGCGGAUUUCGGUGAGAUUUCUUUGAAUCAAUGAUCUGAUUGUUACACACACUGAAGCUCUUAAUAAUUUUUUUUUUAAAUUAAAUGGGAUGUAAAUAAUAAUAAUAAUAGCAGUGAUGAGGUAAAACACAUGAGGAUGUGUUUAGGGAAGUGGACAAGACGAUUAAAACCGUUUUGCCGUGAUCCCCAUUUUAAACGACUUCUCCUUCCACUGAGCUUUUUUUUUAUUUUCAUUCCAACUUUUAUUCAAAAAUACAGUUUUCGGACUCAAUUUGCUGCUUAAUGAUUUCGAGUAAUAGUGAAACUGUUACAAAGCAAAAUGAAUAUAUGGUCAUCAAACAAUUUAAGGGUGCUGAAAGUAGUAGAGUAGAGAAGGAGAAAGCACAUCUCAUAAGGAUGAUGAUAAGUAUGUUUUUAAGUUAUUAUUAUUGUUUACCAUUUUUCAAUUAGAAACCUGAGUUAAAAGUUUUUUUCAAGAAGCUUUGGUAAAAAAAGAUAAUGCAGUUGUGAUAUUGGCAGUUCUGCUGCUGGUGGUACGAUGAUACUUGAGUGGUCCGUUAGUAAUUCAAAUUUGCUGUUCAAAAAAAAUAUUCAUGGGUGCAAAGUUGUUGGGCGCUCUCUAGUUGUUUGACUAGGGAGCUGAGAGAACUUGGCUUAGACAGGGAGAGAAAUUAGUUUUUGCAAAUAUAAAUAUAAGUCAAUUAAUUUAAAGUCAAAUUCGGCUCAGUUGAUGAAAUUUGUCUCUGCAGCUACUAAGGAAGUAAUUGGUCUUAGAGAUCUUGCUUUACAACCAUGGUAAUAAUGUAUUAUUUAAUUUGAAGACAUGUAAAUUGUUAGUUAGUGCAGUAGAGUUUCUGAUAUUGGGCUCUUCUUCCCAUUUUAUUUUGACGACAAACCCUUGGCUGUCUGAGCACUAUACCUUUCAUCUUAUUCAUAAGUUUUCCACUGAUUUUUUAAUACUCAGAGUUUAUUCUUUUUAUAAAUUUUGGUUAAGAGCUAAUGAUGAGACAUACAAUUAUCUUAGCGGAUUUCAGUGAGAUUACUUUUAAUCAAUGAUCUGAUUGUUACACACACUGAAGCUCUUCAAUCUCUUUAUUUUAUUAAAUGGGAUGUUAUAGCAAUAAUGAGGUAAAAUAGAAGAUAAGUAGUUAUUUAUUAGGCCACUCGGUGUGGAGUGUCCCCUGGCCGUCAUGGGGUGGCGCCGCCAUAUCCUCCCAAUUCCCUUGGAGUGCCGGUGUCAAGAACAGCAUCCACAAGACGUUGAAGACUUGCCAUGUGAAGACAAAAUAUUGCUCGUUCCAAAUCCACCAUCUGAAAGCUCCGAAUAACCGGUGGGUAAAAUUGAAUUUGGGGUUCUGGGUCUGAUUCUGUUGAGAUUGAAGAUCGAGUGAAGUAAAGAUCUCUGUUGGUUUCCAAAUCAAAAUCUUCUCUGUCACAGUUGCCGGAGAAAGUGAUGGAAAUGGUGAACCAGAUGGCAUCAGUGAUGGUGAACCAUCUGCCAUUUUUGGUGGUGGUUGGUGAUUUUUGGUAGGGAAAAUAAUUAGUUUGGUUUUGAUAGUGUAGGCAACGGCGGUUGGAGAUGGAAGAUGGUGGAGGUUGGAUGAAGGUGGUUGUGCUGUGGUGGUUUUGUGGAGGUGGUGGUGUUUGUAAAGAGAGACUGAAAUUAGUUGGUUCUCUCUAUUUUUUUAAUACUGUUAACUUUUGUUUAAUAUUUUAAAUGAAUAGUUAUGAAAUUGAAUAAAUAAGUGGA